CCUACGGGUGGCAGCAGUGAGGAAUAUUGGUCAAUGGACGAGAGUCUGAACCAGCCAAGUAGCGUGAAGGAUGACUGCCCUACGGGUUGUAAACUUCUUUUAUAUAGGAAUAAAAUGUUCCACGUGUGCGUUUUUGUAUGUACCAUAUGAAUAAGGAUCGGCUAACUCCGUGCCAGCAGCCGCGGUAAUACGGAGGAUCCGAGCGUUAUCCGGAUUUAUUGGGUUUAAAGGGAGCGUAGGUGGAUUGUUAAGUCAGUUGUGAAAGUUUGCGGCUCAACCGUAAAAUUGCAGUUGAGACUGGCAGUAGUGAGUACAGUGGAGGUGGGCGGAAUUCGUGGUGUAGCGGUGAAAUGCUUAGAUAUCACGAAGAACUCCGAUUGCGAAGGCAGCUUACUAGACUGCAACUGACACUGAGGCUCGAAAGUGUGGGUAUCAAACAGGAUUAGAUACCCCGAUAGUC
rnacentral:rRNA from 1 species